CAUGCUUAUAGCUAUCAGGGUUAUUAACUUUUUUAUUUGGAUUGAUGUUGAUUUUCAGUCAUUUUAUCUUGUUCAGUUGCCUUCAUGCUGUUUCUGGACAAUUUGGUCGAUGUGGCGGGCCUUUGAUAUGCUGCAGAGGAUUUGAAUUAAAUGAGGAGAAAAAUAUAUGUUUGCCGUGUGAGUAUCCAAUGUAUGGGAUUGGAUGCAGAGAAAAAUGUAACUGUUCUAAAGACAAUUGCAGCGUUUUUAAUGGCUGCACGAUGAUGUCUCCUACA